rnacentral:rRNA from 1 species
UACGGAGGGAGCUAGCGUUGUUCGGAAUUACUGGGCGUAAAGCGCGCGUAGGCGGCUUUGUAAGUUAGAGGUGAAAGCCCGGGGCUCAACCCCGGAACUGCCUUUAAGACUGCAUCGCUUGAAUCCGGGAGAGGUGAGUGGAAUUCCGAGUGUAGAGGUGAAAUUCGUAGAUAUUCGGAAGAACACCAGUGGCGAAGGCGGCCCCCUGGUUGGAUACUGACGCUGAUACGCGAAAGCGUGGGGAGCAAACAGG